AGUGAACGCUGGCGGUAGGCCUAACACAUGCAAGUCGAACGGCAGCACAGUAAGAGCUUGCUCUUACGGGUGGCGAGUGGCGGACGGGUGAGGUAUACAUCGGAAUCUACUUUUUCGUGGGGGAUAACGUAGGGAAACUUACGCUAAUACCGCAUACGACCUACGGGUGAAAGCAGGGGAUCUUCUGACCUUGCGCGAUUGAAUGAGCCGAUGUCGGAUUAGCUAGUUGGCGGGUUAAAGGCCCACCAAGGCGACGAUCCGUAGCUGGUGUGAGAGGAUGAUCAGCCACACUGGAACUGAGACAGGGUCCAGACUCCUGCGGGAGGCAGCAGAGGGGAAUAUUAGGCAAUGGGCGCGAGCAUGAUCCAGCCAUACCGCGUGGGUGAAGAAGGCCUUCGGGUUGGAAAGCCCUUUUGUUGGGAAAGAAAAGCAGCAGGUUAAUACGCCGCUGUUCUGACGGUACCCGAAGAAUAAGCACCGGCUAACUUCGUG
rnacentral:rRNA from 1 species